rnacentral:rRNA from 1 species
AUUGAACGCUGGCGGCAUGCCUUACACAUGCAAGUCGAACAGUAACAGGUCUUCGGAUGCUGACGAGUGGCGAACGGGUGAGUAAUACAUCGGAACGUGCCUAGUAGUGGGGGAUAACUACUCGAAAGAGUGGCUAAUACCGCAUGAGAUCUACGGAUGAAAGCAGGGGAUCGCAAGACCUUGUGCUACUAGAGCGGCCGAUGGCAGAUUAGGUAGUUGGUGGGAUAAAAGCUUACCAAGCCGACGAUCUGUAGCUGGUCUGAGAGGACGAUCAGCAACACUGGGACUGAGACACGGCCCAGACUCCUACGGGAGGCAGCAGUGGGGAAUUUUGGACAAUGGGCGAAAGCCUGAUCCAGCAAUGCCGCGUGCAGGAUGAAGGCCUUCGGGUUGUAAACUGCUUUUGUACGGAACGAAAAGCCCCGGGUUAAUACCCUGGGGUCAUGACGGUACCGUAAGAAUAAGCACCGGCUAACUACGUGCCAGCAGCCGCAGUAA